rnacentral:rRNA from 1 species
GCGGAGGAAAAGAACCAACAGUGAUUGCCUAGUAACGGCGAGUGAAGCGGCAACAGCUCAAAUUUGAAAGCUAGCCUUCGGGUUCGCAUUGUAAUUUGUAGAGGAUGAUUUGGGGAAGCCGCCUGUCUAAGUUCCUUGGAACAGGACGUCAUAGAGGGUGAGAAUCCCGUAUGUGACAGGAAAUGGCACCCUAUGUAAAUCUCCUUCGACGAGUCGAGUUGUUUGGGAAUGCAGCUCUAAAUGGGAGGUAAAUUUCUUCUAAAGCUAAAUAUUGGCGAGAGACCGAUAGCGCACAAGUAGAGUGAUCGAAAGAUGAAAAGCACUUUGGAAAGAGAGUUAAAAAGCACGUGAAAUUGUUGAAAGGGAAGCGCUUGCAAUCAGACUUGUUUAAACUGUUCGGCCGGUCUUCUGACCGGUUUACUCAGUUUGGACAGGCCAGCAUCAGUUUCGGCGGCCGGAUAAAGGCUCUGGGAAUGUGGCCUCCACUUCGGUGGAGGUGUUAUAGCCCAGGGUGUAAUACGGCCAGCCGGGACUGAGGUCCGCGCUUCGGCUAGGAUGCUGGCGUAAUGGUUGUAAGCGACCCGU